rnacentral:lncRNA from 1 species
UUCUUCCAGCACCAGUCCAUCCAGCACCACCAGGAGAGUGAUGAUCUGCUGCUGCUGCCAUCGCUCCCGCUCCACCAGCAACAGCAGCCCAGCAUGAAUCUCAUGAGCUGCUGGAACAUGAUCAAUCAGCAGCAGCAGCAAGGAUGCGAGCAAACACCAAUUCAGCUCGCCCAGUGUGGCAGCGUCGUGGAAGAGGAUGUCACGGCCUACUUGGAUGGAUUCACGCCCCCUGCAACGCCACCACACCAGGAAGAUCAUCAGAAGAAUCACCCAAAGCCGCAGCAGCAAGAGCAACAGCCAGACGAUUGGAUGGAGUACCUGAUGAUGAGCAGUUGCAUCAGCGAUGGAGCGGCAGCUGUAGCCGAGCACCACCCCUCGGAAUCCUCGCACAGCUCCGAGCUCUUCACCCCGGACGACAUCUGGAGGGAGCACUUC